rnacentral:rRNA from 1 species
GGGAAAGGGGGAGUCAUCAGUGAGAUACCACUCUUGAUAAGCUAGAGCGCUCAUUUUUAACCGUUGUCCGGUAAAAAGACAGUUUCAGGCGGGCAGUUUGACUGGGGCAGUCACCUCC